ensembl:lncRNA
AUGUUAAAUUGUGAACAUCUUGAGGUUUCGUUUAAGGGCGUGUCUGUGGCGGCCUUACAAAUUUCGAUGUCUCGCCAUGGGAAUAAAAGUUGUUGUAACUCAGUCAUAAAAUCUCUGAUCUUACUUAAACUUCAUAUGUUUAAUAAGAGUCCUGGCCUGAACACAGCCGAAGGCCAAUAUUCCAUUGGUUGUGGGAAAAUGGCUCGACAGCGCCACCUAUACACUUUCAACGGAGUGCGUUUCGAGCUACGUUUCACGUACAUGCACGAAAAUUGGUACACAUAUGUAAAGCAUCAGUACCUACAAAAAAGACUCUUGGAGCAAUAUCCGAAACCCAACAGGAAGUCGGUUAUUUUUAAUUUCAUGAACAAAUUUUGCAUCAUUUUUUUUGUCAUUUGCAUGCCUUGUAUUUUAACGAACUCCUCCUAGAGAUUAAUUCAGAUCAACACCAAAUUUGGUAUGCCUAAUCUGAAGGCCUUUGCGAUGUUAAAUUGCGAAGAUCUUGAGUUUUCGUUGAAGGGCGUGUCCGUGGCGGCCUGACGAAUUUCGAUAUUUCGCCAUGAAAAAGGAAGUUGCUAUAACUCAGACAUAUAAUGUCCAAUCUGCCCCAAACUUAACAUGUUUGAUAAGACUUCUACUCUGAACAGAUCUACAUGCCCAUAUUCAGUUAUAGUCAUAGCGCACCUGCUGGCAACAGGAAGUGUCAUGUUUUACGCUGUAACGAACUACUCCAAGAAAUUUAAUGACAUCAACAUUUUAUUUUGGUCAGUCUAAUCUACAGGCCUUUGCAAUGUUAAAUUGUGGAGAUUUUGAGUUUUUGUUAAAGGGCGUGUCCAUAGCGUGGUGACAAAAUUUAAUGUCUCGCCAUAGGAAGAGAAGUUGUUGUAACUCAGGCAUAAAAUGUUCGAUCUUCCCCAAACUUCACAUGUUCGAUAAGAGUCCUGGCCUGAACACAUCUGAAGGCCAAUAUUCCAUUAUAAUGAUAGCGCCACCUGCUGGCAACAGGAAGAUUGGCACAUAUAAAUGACUUUGACAUAUUCCACUUAAAUUUACAACUUUAAUUAAAUGCAUAUUUCUCGCCGUUCACCUUUUUUACUAAAGCCAUUCGCUGGCGGUGAGUCCGGGUGCGAGGGCCCGUUCAUUGCUGCUUGCAGCUUUAAUAUUCUUCUUCUUCUUCUUCUUCUUCUUCUUCUUCUUCUCCAAAAUGAAUCGCAUUUUUGAGGGCCUAAACUUGCUCGAAAAGUCCUGAAACUUUGCACACGCGUCAGACCUGGUGAAAAUUUACAUCUGAUAUAGGUUUCAGAAGAGGGUGUGGCAAAAUGGCUCGACAGCGCCACCUAUCGUAAAAAAAUCAACAGCCCUCGAGCUGUGUUUCACGUACAUGCACGAAAAUUGGCACACAUAUGUAAAGCAUCAGUACCUACAAAAAUGACUCUUGGAGCAAUAUCCGAAACCCAACAGGAAGUCGGUUAUUUUUUUAAUUUUAUGAGCAAAUUUUUGCAUCAUUUUUGGUCAUUUGCAUGCCUUGUAUUUUAACGAACUCCUCCUAGAGAUUUAUUCAGAUCAACACCAAAUUUGGUAUGCCUAAUCUAAAGGCCUUUGCGAUGUUAAAUUGCGAAGAUCUUGAGUUUUCGUUGAAGGGCGUGUCCGUGGCGGCCUGACGAAUUUCGAUAUUUCGCCAUGAAAAAGGAAGUUGCUAUAACUCAGACAUAUAAUGUCCAAUCUGCCCCAAACUUAACAUGUUUGAUAAGACUUCUACUCUGAACAGAUCCACAUGCCCAUAUUCAGUUAUAGUCAUAGCGCACCUGCUGGCAACAGGAAGUGUCAUGUUUUACGCUGUAACGAACUACUCCAAGAAGUUUAAUGACAUCAACAUUUUAUUUUGGUCAGUCUAAUCUACAGGCCUUUGCAAUGUUAAAUUGUGGAGAUUUUGAGUUUUUGUUAAAGGGCGUGUCCAUAGCGUGGUGACAAAAUUUAAUGUCUCGCCAUAGGAAGAGAAGUUGUUGUAACUCAGGCAUAAAAUGUUCGAUCUUCCCCAAACUUCACAUGAUCGAUAAGAGUCCUGGCCUGAACACAUCUGAAGGCCAAUAUUCCAUUAUAAUGAUAGCGCCACCUGCUGGCAACAGGAAGAUUGGCACAUAUAAAUGACUUUGACAUAUUCCACUUAAAUUUACAACUUUAAUUAAAUGCAUAUUUCUCGCCGUUCGCCUUUUUUACUAAAGCCAUUCGCUGGCGGUGAGUCCGGGUGCGAGGGCCCGUUCAUUGCUGCUUGCAGCUUUAAUAUUCUUCUUCUUCUUCUUCUUCUUCUUCUUCUUCUUCUUCUUCUUCUUCUCCAAAAUGAAUCGCAUUUUUGAGGGCCUAAACAUGCUCGAAAAGUCCUGAAACUUUGCACACGCGUCAGACCUGGUGAAAAAUUUACAUCUGAUAUAGGUUUCAGAAGAGGGUGUGGC